rnacentral:rRNA from 1 species
GAUGAACGCUAGCGGCAGGCUUAAUACAUGCAAGUCAAGGGGGUAGCAAUACAACCGGCGCACGGGUGAGUAACGCGUACACAACAUACCAUAUACUGGGGUAUAGCUUCGGGAAACUGGAGAUAAUCCCCCAUAACAUUGCGAGAGGGCAUCUGAUUGCAAUUAAAGUUUCGACGGUAUAUGAUUGGUGUGCGUUUGAUUAGCUUGUUGGUAGGGUAACGGUCUACCAAGGCGACGAUCAAUAGCUGGCGUGAGAGCGCGACCAGCCACACUGGAACUGAGACAUGGUCCAGACUCCUACGGGAGGCAGCAGUAGGGAAUAUUGGACAAUGGGCGAAAGCCUGAUCCCAGCCAUGCCGCGUGAUAGAUGAAGGCCCUCUGGGUUGUAAAUAUCUUUUAUCUGGGAAGAAACUCCUCUAUUCUUACGAGGCCUGACGGUACCAGAGGAAUAAGCACCGGCUAACUCCGUGACCAGCAGCCGCGGUAAAG